UAUGGUGGCUCAAUUGGUA
rnacentral:siRNA from 1 species